AGUGUUACGCCGGAUGAACGGAAAUCAUUGAUGUUGAUUAAUAUGGGAUUAUGUUAGUAUCUCUAACACUA
rnacentral:tRNA from 1 species